AGUGAACGCUGGCGGUAGGCCUAACACAUGCAAGUCGAACGGCAGCACAGUAAGAGCUUGCUCUUACGGGUGGCGAGUGGCGGACGGGUGAGGAAUACAUCGGAAUCUACUUUUUCGUGGGGGAUAACGUAGGGAAACUUACGCUAAUACCGCAUACGACCUACGGGUGAAAGCAGGGGAUCUUCGGACCUUGCGCGAGUGAAUGAGCCGAUGUCGGAUUAGCUAGUUGGCGGGGUAAAGGCCCACCAAGGCGACGCUCCGUAGCUGGUCGGAGAGGAUGAUCAGACACACGGGAACUGAGACACGGUCCAGACUCCGACGGGAGGCAGCAGUGGGGAAUAUUGGACAAUGGGCGCAAGCCUGAUCCAGCCAUACCGCGUGGGUGAAGAAGGCCUUCGGGUUGUAAAGCCCUUUUGUUGGGAAAGAAAAGCAGCAGGUUAAUACCCCGCUGUUCUGACGGUACCCAAAGAAUAAGCACCGGCUAACUUCGUG
rnacentral:rRNA from 1 species